CUGACCUGGGGCUCAUUUUGGGGCUUGAACCCCGACGUUUAGUAGCCUAGGGGCGUGGCCAUGCUGGAUCUGGGGCUGACCUCCGAGCAGCGCUUAGACCCUCGGGAGCCUUAGGAGAGCGGGAAAGUUGCUAAUAGGUACUUGUCCUCAGCUCCACACCCCUGGAGGGCCUCAACUCACCUCGGCGCAGUGCCGUUAUCCCCUGUGCGUCCUCCGUGUGUGCCACCGGUCGCUGGGCACGUGGAGCCACCUGGCUGUAGAUCGGGGUGUCCGUGCUGUUGGGCGCCCGCGGCCCCGGCCCUGUGACCGCCGAAGCGCCACGCUUCUGCACCACAGCCAGGCAGUCUAUUCCAGCUAGCGAUUCCAGCUCAUUGUAUCAUGAACAUAUGGCCAGAGGCUUCUCAAGAGAUACCACUGGAAAAGGAAGGCUGGGGCUGGCGAGAUGGCUCAGCGGUUAACUGACUGCUCUUCCGAAGGUCAUGAGUUCAAAUCCCCACAACCACAUGGUGGCUCACAACCAUCCAUAAUGAGAUCUGAUGCUCUCUUCUGGAAUAUCCAAAGACAGCUACAGUAUCCUCAUAAAACUAAUUUCCUAAACCUGCAGUGGACACAGAGGGGUCCAGGUCCAAGCCCUUGGAGGCAGCGGGCCUCCUCCACCAUGGUGAGAAUGUGAUCAGAACUGCUGGGAACCCCGUGGUCUGGCCAGGACAUAUACUGUAGCUGGUGCACAGAGCGGGAUUCCUGAGACGGGAACAGAGAGUGGAAAAAAGAAAAGAAAAAAA
ensembl:processed_transcript Gm28417 predicted gene 28417